GCGCCCAUAGUUCAACUGAACAGAACGUCGGAUUCCGGUUCCGAAGGUUGCAGGUUCGAAUCCUCUUGGGCGUA
rnacentral:tRNA from 1 species